rnacentral:rRNA from 1 species
AUUGAACGCUGGCGGCAUGCCUAACACAUGCAAGUCGAACGGGAUCCUAGCUUGCUAGGUGAGAGUGGCGGACGGGUGAGUAACACGUGGGAAUCUGCCUUUUGGUUCGGGAUAACCGCGGGAAACUGCGGCUAAUACCGAAUGCCCUCGAGAGAGGAAAGAUUUAUCGCCAGAAGAGGAGCCCGCGUCCGAUUAGGUAGUUGGUGGGGUAAAGGCCUACCAAGCCGACGAUCGGUAGCUGGUCUGAGAGGAUGAUCAGCCACACUGGGACUGAGAUACGGCCCAGACUCCUACGGGAGGCAGCAGUGGGGAAUAUUGGACAAUGGGGGCAACCCUGAUCCAGCAAUGCCGCGUGAGUGAUGAAGGCCUUAGGGUUGUAAAGCUCUUUUGCCAGGGAAGAUGAUGACUGUACCUGGAGAAUAAGCCCCGGCUAACUUCGUGCCAGCAGCCGC